AACGAACGCUGGCGGCAUGCCUAACACAUGCAAGUCGAACGAGACCUUCGGGUCUAGUGGCGCACGGGUGCGUAACGCGUGGGAACCUGCCCUUAGGUUCGGAAUAACUCUCCGAAAGGGGUGCUAAUACCGGAUAAUGUCUUCGGACCAAAGAUUUAUUGCCUUUGGAUGGGCCCGCGUUGGAUUAGCUAGUUGGUAGGGUAAAAGCCUACCAAGGCGACAAUCCAUAGCUGGUUUGGGAGAAUGAUCAGCCACACUGGGACUGAGACACGGCCCAGACUCCUACGGGAGGCAGCAGUGGGGAAUAUUGGACAGUGGGCGGAAGCCUGAUCCAGCUAUGCCGCGUGAGUGAUGAAGGCCUUAGAGUUGUAAAGCUCUUUUACCCGGGAUGAUAAUGACAGUACCUAGAGAAUAAGCUCCGGCUAACUCCGUG
rnacentral:rRNA from 1 species